AUUUUCGAUGAUGAUGGAAGGAAAGAAGAGUCAUGGUCUUAUUCUUACUGAGUACCUUUUGAUUUUGAAUUCAACCUUCAACACACAACAAAAGACUCAUUCUUUCAGCUGACCCUACUACUGUACUACUAAUCAAGUUUAUUAGUAUUAAUUAUGGUUAACACGGCUCUAUCAUCUAACACAGUCCACAUCCACCAACCACUAUCCGAGUCCAAAAUGUCGAAAAACGUCGGUAAUGUCGGGUUUCAGUGCGACUGAUACAUGCAGUGAUAUUGAUAUUUGUCCAUGACAGUCUAACUUAACAGAUGAAAGAUUGAUCACCUAUAAUGGACCAAGAAUAUGUCAAAGGACAAGUAAACCAUGUCUACAGUACUGUUGUUUCAUUCACACAUUAUGUAUGAGUUUCCACUUUCUAAAAUCAUUAAAACUUUUUUUAGUUUGAUAGAUUAAUAUUAUAUAUCAUUAGGAAUCUGAAUUGAGGGAUUAGUUCUAAAUUUCUAAUAUAUGUAAGGACAUCUACAGCUAAGACUGACCACAUUGUUAUUUGCUUAUCUAUUAUUAAUAAAGUAGGUUUUGGAUCAACUUCUCUUCCAUAACCUCAUGUACAAUUUAUUCAUAGUGCUAACUGCUAAGCUAAGUUAUAUUCCUCAA
rnacentral:lncRNA from 1 species